rnacentral:rRNA from 1 species
CAGUAGCCACGGUAAUACGUAGGUGGCAAGCGUUGUCCGGAAUUAUUGGGCGUAAAGGGCGCGCAGGCGGCUGCGUAAGUCUGUCUAGAAAGUGCGGGGCUAAACCCCGUGAGAGGAUGGAAACCGGACAGCUGAGAGUGUCGGAGAGGAAAGCGGAAUUCCUAGCGUAGCGGUGAAAUGCGUAGAUAUUAGGAGGAACACCGGUGGCGAAAGCGGCUUUCUGGACGACAACUGACGCUGAGGCGCGAAAGCUAGGGGAGCGAACGGGAUUAGAUACCCCAGUAGUCCCUGUCUCUUAUAC